AAUAGAUACCCGGGUAGUCCAUGCCGUAAACGUUGGGCACUAGGUGUGGGGGACAUUCCACGUUUUCCGCGCCGUAGCUAACGCAUUAAGUGCCCCGCCUGGGGAGUACGGCCGCAAGGCUAAAACUCAAAGGAAUUGACGGGGGCCCGCACAAGCGGCGGAGCAUGCUGAUUAAUUCGAUGCAACGCGAAGAACCUUACCAAGGCUUGACAUGCACCGGACGGCUGCAGAGAUGUGGCUUUCUUUGGACUGGUGCACAGGUGGUGCAUGGUUGUCGUCAGCUCGUGUCGUGAGAUGUUGGGUUAAGUCCCGCAACGAGCGCAACCCUCGUUCUAUGUUGCCAGCACGUGAUGGUGGGGACUCAUAGGAGACUGCCGGGGUCAACUCGGAGGAAGGUGGGGACGACGUCAAAUCAUCAUGCCCCUUAUGUCUUGGGCUUCAAGCAUGCUACAAUGGUCGGUACAAUGGGUUGCGAAACUGUGAGGUGGAGCGAAUCCCAAAAAGCCGGCCUCAGUUCGGAUUGGGGUCUGACC
rnacentral:rRNA from 1 species